GUCCUCUAGGGGGAAUGCUUUCAGUUUUUGCCUGUUUUCUAUGAUAUUGGCUGUGAGUUUGUCAUAGAUGGCUCUUAUUAUUUUGAGUUUCCUUCAGUGCCUAGUCAAUUGAGGGUUUUUAUCAUGAAGGGAUGCUGGAUUUUAUGGAAAGUUUUUCCUAUAUCUAUUGCAAUGAUCACAUGGUUUUUGCUUUUAACUCUGUUUAUGUGGUGAAUGGCACUUACUGAUUUGCGUAUGUUGAAACAACCUUGCAGCCCAGGAAUGAAGCCUCCUUUAUAGUGUGUUCACUCAGGAAUUAUUCAGGAGCAAGUUGUUCAAUUUCCAUGCAUUCGUGUAGUUUUCAGAGAUCUUCUUGAUAUUGAUUUCCAUUAUUAUUGCACUGGGGUCUCAGAGUAUGCUUGAAAACUGAGGAUUAGAACAAACCACAUCCUGAAAUGUGGAGAGACAGAUAAAUUCAGAGAGAAACAGCUGAGAUCUACUUACCUGGAACAAAAGCCACUGUAGCCACAAACUGCCAAUGAAAAUUUUGGAACCAUUUCUAUAAACUACAUAGCCAAUUACAAUUUUGAAACCAUCCCUAUAAACUUCAUAAAGUUAAUCAGGGAAGAAGAAAGGGGCAAACAACAACAACAAAAACAACAACAAAACCCAAGUUAGCAGCACAAGCAGCAUUCACCAUGAGGUCCUGCAUACCAAUGAAACUACUUAUGCCGGCUAGUCUGAAGGACCCCACAGGAGCUGACUCACUAAAGAAUGCAGUUUCCAUAUCCUGAGGACUUCAUCUACCCUACUCUGACAAGUCAACAACCCCAAUUCUCCAGCCCCUCACCCUCCAUGAUCCCCUUAAAACCCCAGCCCAGAACUCUUUGGAGAGAUGGGUUUAUGUUCUCCUCUCAUCUCUUUGCUCUGUCCCCUAUUACCAUUAAACUCUUUCUCUG
rnacentral:lncRNA from 1 species